rnacentral:rRNA from 1 species
AGUGAACGUUGGCGGCGUGGAUUAGGCAUGCGAGUCGAGCGAGAACCGUAGCAAUACGGGGACAGCGGCGAAAGGGACAGUAAUAUGUAGGUACCUACCCCGAGGUCUGGGAUAGCUGCGGGAAACUGCAGGUAAUUCCGGAUAAUGUCCUCGGACCAAAGGUGUGAUUCCACCUCGGGAGGGGCCUGCAUCCUAUUAGCUAGUUGGCGGGGUAACGGCCCACCAAGGCGACGAUGGGUAGCGGGUGUGAGAGCACGACCCGCGUCAUUGGGACUGAGACACUGCUCAGACACCUACGGGUGGCUGCAGUCGAGAAUCUUCGGCAAUGGGGGAAACCCUGACCGAGCGACGCCGCGUGCGGGAUGAAGGCCCUCGGGUUGUAAACCGCUGUCGUAGAGGAGGAAAUGCAGGGGGGUUCUCCCCUUUGCUUGACCUAUUCUAGGAGGAAGUACGGGCUAAGUUCGUGCCAGCCGCCGCAGUAA